AACUUGCGCGAGAAUUGAUGAAGCAAGUUUUUUUUUAAUGUUAAGAUAUUGAGACUAAUCAUAACUGUGAAUCAUCACCAUGCAUCUGCUAUAUAUGUCUUAUGGUUUACUCCCAUGUUAGGGGUACAGUUGUCAUGGUCAUGAUGGUUGUAGCUCUUAAUUUCUGCGUCAUUUGGUUUCUUCUUGAGACUGUUGUCUCAUUGGCAAUCAUACCACAUCUUUUUUUUAUAUACUGAAAGUAAACCAUCACUGUAUAUAAUCACUAUCAGACAUGGGUACUCUUGACCUGGUUCCCUGCUCUUUGUCUAAGAAAAACAACAUUACUGUAGUCUGUACAUAUACCUACGGCC
rnacentral:lncRNA from 1 species